rnacentral:tRNA from 1 species
CCACAGUAGCUCAGUGGUAGAGCUAUCGGCUGUUAACCGAUCGGUCGUAGGUUCGAGUCCUACAACGCGGC